CACCAUCUUGGGGGCGGCCUGCAUGACUGGUUUCUGUACCAUCCUCGGUGCCUCAGGCACCAGGGCUCCUUUUCCCUUCACUGUCAAGGAGCAUGAAGAGCACGCCCUGGACCUAACACCACCCACCAGUGUCUCAGGUACACUGGUGUAAGACUGAAAUUCUCUUCUGUUCAAAAGACAAGGUUUCUUGAAUUGUUCAUCUGCUCUGGAUAAGAAAAUGUAAACGAAGGACACCAUUGGAAACACUGGUUAUUUUACCAAGGUUUUGACUGGAAUGUCCUAUUUGAGAGACAUGCAUAGACUCAGAUGUGACCAAACAGCUUUAAGGAACUAAGGUUGACUUUAUCAAACCUGGAGCCAUAAAGCCCCUUGGAACUGCUGGCCUGAUACCUUGCUUACAGCGUUCCCAGCAGC